CACGUAGGGCGCAAGCGUUGUCCGGAAUUAUUGGGCGUAAAGAGCUCGUAGGCGGUCUGUUGCGUCUGCUGUGAAAACCCGGGGCUUAACCCCUGGCUUGCAGUGGAUACGGACAGACUAGAGGUAGGUAGGGGAGAAUGGAAUUCCCGGUGUAGCGGUGAAAUGCGCAGAUAUCAGGAGGAACACCGGUGGCGAAGGCGGAUCUCUGGGCCAUUACUGACGCUGAGGAGCGAAAGCGUGGGGAGCGAACAGG
rnacentral:rRNA from 1 species